CGGGUGGUGGCGGAGGUACCUCGGAAAGCCUUGAAUUUAUCUAAACAAGGCGGCUCGCGCCACUGAAGGUUUCAGUACUUAAAUGAUGGCGGCAACUGAUUAUUCUAAUUGGUAUUUUAAUAGCGGUUUUGAAAAAUUCAGUGCUUAAAACUAUAGCUAACUCAGCGUUUUUCCAUGGCUACGAAGGAAUUCCAAACACCAGCUCAAUUAGUUUUAUUAGAAGAAAUAGUGAGCAAUGCUCUUUCAUCACUCCUUGUUGAAUUGGACUAUAGGCUGCUGCUAAUAUACAUGUAUGUGGAAAAACUUACAACAAUGGAAGCACUUGAUUUAUAAAAUUGAUUGGAACUUCAAGACACUAAGGUACACAACUUUACUGCAUAAAAAAAUGUAUGAAUUAUUUUGUUGUCGUUUCUCAUUAUAUUUAAUUAUCUGCUGCAUUUGAUAUUAAUUUGAGGUAGAGUUAGUAAUUUAAUCAGUUAGGUCAGUGAGAUUGAAUAAUGUCAAUUGAUUGCAUAAUUCUCGACUGCACCUACCACCAUAAUUAGUAAUCUACUUCCAAUUUAUUAUCUUAGGUUUAGCAGAUAAUUGAAUAAGCAAAUAAUUAAGCACUUAUUUUGUUGUUUAAA